CAGCACCUCAAGUGGUCAGGAGGAUUAUUGGGCCUAAAGCAUCCGUAGCCUGUUCUAUAAGUUUGCGGUUAAAUCUAUACGCUCAACGUAUAGGCUGCCGUAAAUACUGUAGAACUAGGGAGUGGGAGAGGUAGGCGGUACUCGAUAGGAAGGGGUAAAAUCCUUUGAUCUAUUGAUGACCACCUGUGGCGGAGGCGGUCUACCAGAACACGUUCGACGGUGAGGGAUGAAAGCUGGGGGAGCAAACCGGAUUAGAUACCCGGGUAGUCCCAGCUGUAAACGAUGCAGACUCGAUGAUGCAAUGGC
rnacentral:rRNA from 1 species